rnacentral:rRNA from 1 species
UACGUAGGGGGCAAGCGUUGUCCGGAUUUAUUGGGCGUAAAGAGCGUGUAGGCGGCCAUUCAGGUCAGCUGUGAAAACUCGAGGCUCAACCUCGAGACGUCGGUUGAAACCGUUUGGCUAGAGUCCGGAAGAGGAGAGUGGAAUUCCGGGUGUAGCGGUGAAAUGCGUAGAUAUCAGGAGGAACACCUGCGGUGUAGACAGCUUUCUGGACCACUUCUGACGCUGAGACACGAAAGCGUGGGUAGCAAACAGG